GGGUUUGUGUCCCGGGAGCUUGCAAGUUCAGCGUUUGCGGAGCAGGAGGUAAGCGCGGAGGCUUGACGCGGCUCCACCUUGCGGGAUAUCACCAGCGGCUCUGUCUGGCCUGACUCGCGGGAAGCUCCGCUUCCUUCGGUAGGAGACGGGUAAAGGCCCCGUUACAGCCCUGCAUGUGUUCGCUAACCGAGGCGGCGUGGAAUGCGGAGAGAACCUAGGCCCGAAACCGGCAUCAAUGUCUGGUUUCCAGACCACAACCAGGAGUCAUAUCCAUUCUUCAAAUGGUUUGUAAAGAAUGUGCGCUUAAACGUGGCAGGAUGGCAGUGGUCGUCAUAUCACCCGGAACAAUCACCAGGUCCAUCAUUAUUAAUACUUCCAUGGAGAAACCACGUUUUCAUUUAAAUUUAACUUGGCGUCUCAGCUGGUGUCCACGCGUGUUUACCGACCCGUCUGUGGACCUCAGAAGCCGCGGUCCCUGAGCCGAAGGCGGAGGAGCGCUGCCCACCCCGCCAGAUGGAAAAGGGACCACACCAUCGCUCAGCAGCAUCACUCCUGUUAUGUGCGAACGGCGCCACCUGGCGCUCAGUGUUGGUGGAGACCCUGGUGUUAGGCGACAUGGCGACGAUUCACUCUCCCAAACUCUGAGGGCAUUUCUUGUGUUCGAGGUUUCUACAGGUACCCUCCACAGCCAGGGUCGCACUACCCGCUCACCGUUCCAUCAUCCCACACGGCUGCGCAGCCGGCAGAUGAGAAGCCACUUCUUCCAAGGACAGACUCUCUGUUACAUGUAAGGAAUUGGUUGAAUAAAGGUCUCACC
rnacentral:lncRNA from 1 species